AAACCAUGAUGAGGGCAGUCUCUCUCAUACUCUUCAAAUCGCUUCCACGCCUCAAAGAAUGAUUCUAUUGAGCCUUGUUGGAAACUUUGUAUCUUGUUUCUCAUUU
rnacentral:snoRNA from 1 species